rnacentral:rRNA from 1 species
UAAUGGGUCAGCGACUUAUAUUCAGUGGCAAGGUUAACCAUCUAGGGGAGCCGUAGGGAAACCGAGUCUUAACUGGGCGUUCAGUCUCUGGAUAUAGACCCGAAACCAGGUGAUCUAGCCAUGGGCAGGUUGAAGGUUGAGUAACAUCAACUGGAGGACCGAACCGACUAAUGUUGAAAAAUUAGCGGAUGACUUGUGGCUAGGGGUGAAAGGCCAAUCAAACCUGGAGAUAGCUGGUUCUCCCCGAAAGCUAUUUAGGUAGCGCCUCGGACGAAUACUACUGGGGGUAGAGCACUGUUAAGGCUAGGGGGUCAUCCCGACUUACCAACCCUUUGCAAACUCCGAAUACCAGUAAGUACUAUCCGGGAGACACACGGCGGGUGCUAACGUCCGUCGUGGAGAGGGAAACAACCCAGACCGCCAGCUAAGGUCCCAAAUUACUACUAAGUGGGAAACGAUGUGGGAAGGCUCAGACAGCCAGGAUGUUGGCUUAGAAGCAGCCAUCAUUUAAAGAAAGCGUAAUAGCUCACUGGUCGAGUCGGCCUGCGCGGAAGAUGUAACGGGGCUAAGUAGUAAACCGAAGCUGCGGCAAUAUACUUUUGUAUAUUGGGUAGGGGAGCGUUCUGUAAGCGGUUGAAGGUGUGUGGUAACGCAUGCUGGACGUAUCAGAAGUGCGAAUGCUGACAUGAGUAACGAUAAAGGGGGUGAAAAACCUCCUCGCCGGAAGACCAAGGGUUCCUGUCCAACGUUAAUCGGGGCAGGGUAAGUCGACCCCUAAGGCGAGGCCGAAAGGCGUAGUCGAUGGGAAACGGGUUAAUAUUCCCGUACUUCUUACAAUUGCGAUGGGGGGACGGAGAAGGCUAGGUGGGCCUGGCGACGGUUGU